rnacentral:rRNA from 1 species
UACGUAGGUGGCAAGCGUUGUCCGGAUUUACUGGGCGUAAAGAGCUCGUAGGCGGCUUGUCACGUCGGGUGUGAAAGCCCGGGGCUUAACCCCGGGAGGCGGGUGGAUACUGUCAAGCUCGAGUCCGGAAGAGGCGAGUGGAAUUCCUGGUGUAGCGGUGAAAUGCGCAGAUAUCAGGAGGAACACCAAUGGCGAAGGCAGCUCGCUGGGACGUGACUGACGCUGAGGCGCGAAAGCGUGGGGAGCAAACGGGG